CACCUCUCAGGGUCGCACCUGGAGAGUUUCCAGUAUUCUACCAGUCUCAGCUACGGGAGGGAGAGUCAAGCAGAGGCAUAGUCAUUCUAUUCCUAGCUUGGGCAGUGACUAGGACUGAAAGACAAUCUGCUACAAGU